rnacentral:rRNA from 1 species
UUAAAUUGAAGAGUUUGAUCAUGGCUCAGAUUGAACGCUGGCGGCAGGCCUAACACAUGCAAGUCGAACGGUAACAGGAAGCAGCUUGCUGCUUCGCUGACGAGUGGCGGACGGGUGAGUAAUGUCUGGGAAACUGCCUGAUGGAGGGGGAUAACUACUGGAAACGGUGGCUAAUACCGCAUAACGUCGCAAGACCAAAGAGGGGGACCUUCGGGCCUCUUGCCAUCAGAUGUGCCCAGAUGGGAUUAGCUUGUUGGUGAGGUAACGGCUCACCAAGGCGACGAUCCCUAGCUGGUCUGAGAGGAUGACCAGCCACACUGGAACUGAGACACGGUCCAGACUCCUACGGGAGGCAGCAGUGGGGAAUAUUGCACAAUGGGCGCAAGCCUGAUGCAGCCAUGCCGCGUGUAUGAAGAAGGCCUUCGGGUUGUAAAGUACUUUCAGCGGGGAGGAAGGUGUUGUGGUUAAUAACCGCAGCAAUUGACGUUACCCGCAGAAGAAGCACCGGCUAACUCCGUGCCAGCAGCCGCGGUAAUACGGAGGGUGCAAGCGUUAAUCGGAAUUACUGGGCGUAAAGCGCACGCAGGCGGUCUGUCAAGUCGGAUGUGAAAUCCCCGGGCUCAACCUGGGAACUGCAUUCGAAACUGGCAGGCUUGAGUCUUGUAGAGGGGGGUAGAAUUCCAGGUGUAGCGGUGAAAUGCGUAGAGAUCUGGAGGAAUACCGGUGGCGAAGGCGGCCCCCUGGACAAAGACUGACGCUCAGGUGCGAAAGCGUGGGGAGCAAACAGGAUUAGAUACCCUGGUAGUCCACGCCGUAAACGAUGUCUACUUGGAGGUUGUGCCCUUGAGGCGUGGCUUCCGGAGCUAACGCGUUAAGUAGACCGCCUGGGGAGUACGGCCGCAAGGUUAAAACUCAAAUGAAUUGACGGGGGCCCGCACAAGCGGUGGAGCAUGUGGUUUAAUUCGAUGCAACGCGAAGAACCUUACCUGGUCUUGACAUCCACAGAAGAAUCCAGAGAUGGAUUUGUGCCUUCGGGAACUGUGAGACAGGUGCUGCAUGGCUGUCGUCAGCUCGUGUUGUGAAAUGUUGGGUUAAGUCCCGCAACGAGCGCAACCCUUAUCCUUUGUUGCCAGCGGUCCGGCCGGGAACUCAAAGGAGACUGCCAGUGAUAAACUGGAGGAAGGUGGGGAUGACGUCAAGUCAUCAUGGCCCUUACGACCAGGGCUACACACGUGCUACAAUGGCGCAUACAAAGAGAAGCGACCUCGCGAGAGCAAGCGGACCUCAUAAAGUGCGUCGUAGUCCGGAUUGGAGUCUGCAACUCGACUCCAUGAAGUCGGAAUCGCUAGUAAUCGUGGAUCAGAAUGCCACGGUGAAUACGUUCCCGGGCCUUGUACACACCGCCCGUCACACCAUGGGAGUGGGUUGCAAAAGAAGUAGGUAGCUUAACCUUCGGGAGGGCGCUUACCACUUUGUGAUUCAUGACUGGGGUGAAGUCGUAACAAGGUAACCGUAGGGGAACCUGCGGUUGGAUCACCUCCUUACCU